rnacentral:rRNA from 1 species
UACGAAGGGGGCUAGCGUUGUUCGGAAUUACUGGGCGUAAAGCGCACGUAGGCGGAUAUUUAAGUCAGGGGUGAAAUCCCGGGGCUCAACCCCGGAACUGCCUUUGAUACUGGAUAUCUUGAGUUCGGAAGAGGUAAGUGGAAUUGCGAGUGUAGAGGUGAAAUUCGUAGAUAUUCGCAAGAACACCAGUGGCGAAGGCGGCUUACUGGUCCGAUACUGACGCUGAGGUGCGAAAGCGUGGGGAGCAAACAGG